AAAUAUAUUAACUAUUUUGGUGAAAUAUAAGUAUUUCUUAAAAGGGAAAAGGGUGAAAAUCCCUUGCGGUCCAGCCACUGUAUUGAGGAGUAAAUUUUUGUUAUGCCACUGCAACUUUUUUGCGGGAAGGUAAAAAUUUGUAAUGAAUCUGAGUCAGGAGACCUGCCAAUAUAGGUUUUAAAAU
rnacentral:ncRNA from 2 species